rnacentral:rRNA from 1 species
CCUACGGGAGGCAGCAGCGAGGAAUAUUGGGCAAUGGGCGAAAGCCUGACCCAGCAACGCCGCGUGAGGGAUGAAGGCCUUCGGGUUGUAAACCUCUUUUCUGGGAGAAGAGACAAGGACGGUAUCCCAGGAAUAAGUCUCGGCUAACUACGUGCCAGCAGCCGCGGUAAUACGUAGGAGGCUAGCGUUAUCCGGAUUCACUGGGCGUAAAGCGCACGCAGGCGGUCAUGUAAGUCAGACGUGAAAGCUCCUGGCUCAACUGGGAGAGGUCGUUUGAUACUGCAUGGCUUGAGGUUGGGAGAGGGAAGCGGAAUUCCCGGUGUAGUGGUGGAAUGCGUAGAUAUCGGGAGGAACACCAGUGGCGAAAGCGGCUUCCUGGCCCAUACCUGACGCUCAGGUGCGAAAGCGUGGGGAGCGAACGGGAUUAGAUACCCCGGUAGUCCACGCUGUAAACGAUGCGAACUAGGUGUUGGUAGUAUUAAUCCUAUCAGUGCCGUAGCUAACGCGAUAAGUUCGCCGCCUGGGGACUACGGCCGCAAGGCUAAAACUUAAAGGAAUUGACGG